UUCAGGGCACACGGGCAAUGAGAGCCACGGUAAGGAAAACACCUGUGCUUUCCCAGACCUCCUUGCGCCUCUGCUAGGUUAAGCUCUGGACAGCCAGACGGUUCAUGAAGACUUCUAGCGCGUCUCCACUCUGGCUGGACACCCGGAUCAUCUGAGGAACUGUACAAAAUCUCUAUCAGCUUCUCCCGGCAUGGAGCCCAAAUCUCUGUGUGCUUAUUUUCGAAAAUGGUAAGGCACAGUGGAAGCAUAGCAACAGGUUCAUCACCGCCACCAACCUAAACCCUUCAAAAGUGGGACUUUUCUCUGCCUGGUCCCAGCAGAGGAAGGCAGGCAGCCAUGCACAGGUGUCCUGGAAGAGAGGAAACCUAGCUGUGAACUGCCUGUGGAAACUGAACUGUGAGCACCUGUGUGCAGCUUCUGUUCACUGAGAGUCAUUCACAGCCAAGAGCAGGAGGAAAAUGGAGACCACAAAGACAUGAAUUCUUCCAGCAAUCAGUGGGCUUGGACAGGAGCCCAAGCAGGCCCAGUCAAUGAUCAGCUCUCUGCCCCAGGCCCCGGCUGCAGGAAACACAAGGUCAUAAAUGCAUGGUGUUUGGAGCCAUUAAGUUUGUGGUAAACCCAGCCUCCGUGCCAGCAAGUUUGUCCUCUGAUGCAAAUGAAGAUGCACUUUGGUCCCAACCCUGACACUGCCCUGCUCCCUUCCUCCCACGACGCACACCCACCGCAACAUUUCCAGCUCCCACGUCUGUCUUGAGGGUCCCCCGUCUGGGAACCAGAUUUCAGACCACAUUAAUUAACAACCUCACAGCCAGCUUUUCCUCGCUCUAGGAAACAGAACAGUCUGUGCAGCUGUUGGGCAAAGGGAUAAACAAGUCAGGAGAACAACGCCAGGAGACAGGGCAUGGCUUCGGACUGCAAGUGAAAUUUUUCAGAGGCCCACUUAGUUUCACAUGUGAUCACGGAAGCCGUCGGGAAGGUCCAGCGCGAGAUAGGACAGGAAGGCUUGGUGGGAGCUCCAGCCCUCAUUGCAAGUUUUCAAUCCGGGCAUGCCAGGAAACAUCAUCCACUGCUUCUGUCAGUGGGAUGACCGGGAAGGCCAGCUGUAGGUGAUCCAGGCUGGUGGGACUGGCGACUCAGCUCGUGCCUGCUGCGGGCGGACCACUGCGCACUCCUAGAGCAAAGACAGAAGAGCAAGGGGCAGCAACCCAAAGCACAAAGCCCACUUCGGUCGGUCCCUCCUUGGAUCCUACUAAUUUGUCACAUGCAGUAAGGGGAAGCACCAGGUGAUAAGGUUGAGAACACUCAGGCGAGGAGAUGAAGACCAGUCAUUUGAUGGGGACCACACUCUUGCCGUGUGGUAAAGGGGAUCUGAUUAUUGAACAAGAAAGAAGAAAACAAGCCUGUUUAUCAAACAGAGCCCAGUUUCUCCCAUCCCAGAAGAGCAUUUGGCCACAUUCCUUACAAGAAUUCUCAAAGCAGGUGGCAAGCAAAGAAGAGAAACCCUCAGUGUAAACCUCAAAAGGGUCAUUUGCUAAUUCAGUAUCUUUCUAGGCUGGUGACUAUUAAUGGAUUCUUGACAAUGCACAUUGUUUCUCCAAUCUUUUCGGGUUGGCUGAGUACUGAAAACCUUCCCAGAAAACAGAAUGGCCGAGCAGGGAAGAGGAGGGAUGGACCAUUCGUAAUUAUCAGCGGCCCUCUUGUCCCGAAUGAACUCAAGUCCUCAGGACUCCUCCUCACCAGCCUGGUGUGACUGAGAAAAAGCCAGUCACAUAGCAGCGACUAGAAAAUAGUACAAUCAAUGGAGGAAGUGCACAUUUGAUACUCGCAUUAAAAAAUGUGCCAUCAGUCAAGGUAUAAGACUGGUUGGGUGAGCAUCUCUUCAUUUUGGCUGGUUUUGUUUGCUCCAGUUGCUAACUGCACAGAGAGAAACCAGGUUUAAGCAGCUCUCCAGGUACAAGGCAUUUCUCCGGGAUUAGGGCUGCGUAAGGUCUCAAAAUAGGUUUAUGA